GAAUUAGCUAAUACGACUCCUGUUAAGCCUCCGAUUGUAAAGAGAAAGAUAAAGCCUAAAGCUCAUAAUAUUGCUGGGGAUCAUUUAAUAUUACCUCCAUGUAAUGUCUUAAGCUAAGGUACAAACUGGGAUUAGAAACCCCACUAUGCUUAGCCGUAAACCUAGGUAAUUAAAUAACAAAAUUACUCGCCAGAGAACUACUAGCAACUGCUUAAAACUCAAAGGACUUGGCGGUGCCCUAGACCCUCCUAGAGGAGCCUGUUCUAUAAUCGAUAAACCCCGAUACACCUCACCCCUUCUCGCUCAACAGUCUAUAUACCGCCAUCGUCAGCUCACCCCAAUAGGGCCCCAAAGUGAGCAAAAUCAUCAAACCAUAAAAACGUUAGGUCAAGGUGUAGCAUAUGAAGGGGGAAGCAAUGGGCUACAUUUUCUACAUUAGAACAUAACGGAUUGUCUACUGAAAUAAAGACAUGAAGGAGGAUUUAGUAGUAAAUUAAGAAUAGAGAGCUUAGUUGAAAUAGGCAAUAGGGUGCGUACACACCGCCCGUCACCCUCCUCGAUAUAGUAACCUUUAAUACCUAAUUAGAAUACGUCAAAAAGAGGAGAAAAGUCGUAACAUGGUAAGUGUACUGGAAAGUGUACUUGGACAAUCAAAAUG
rnacentral:ncRNA from 1 species